UCGCACGAGAAAGGGGAGCAAUCCCUGAGUAAAGUGGCGCACGGGUGAGUAACACGUGAAUAAUCUACCUCCGAGUGGGGAAUAACUGAGAGAAAUCUUAGCUAAUAUCGCAUAACACUUACGAGUCAAAGCAGCAAUGCGCUUGGAGAGGAGUUCGCGGCCGAUUAGUUAGUUGGCGGGGUAAUGGCCCACCAAGACGAUGAUCGGUAUCCGGCCUGAGAGGGCGCACGGACACACUGGAACUGAAACACGGUCCAGACUCCUACGGGAGGCAGCAGUGGGGAAUUUUGCGCAAUGGGGGAAACCCUGACGCAGCAACGCCGCGUGGAGGAUGAAAUAUCUUGGUAUGUAAACUCCUUUCGAUGGGGAAGAUUAUGACGGUACCCGUAGAAGAAGCCCCGGCUAACUUCGUGCCAGCAGCCGCGGUAAUACGAGGGGGGCAAGCGUUGUUCGGAUUUAUUGGGCGUAAAGGGUGCGUAGGCGGUUUGGCAAGUCUGAUGUGAAAUCUAUGGGCUCAACCCAUAGUCUGCAUCAGAAACUGCCGGGCUUGAGUAUGGGAGAGGUGAGUGGAAUUUCCGGUGUAGCGGUGAAAUGCGUAGAUAUCGGAAGGAACACCUGUGGCGAAAGCGGCUCACUGGACCAUAACUGACGCUGAUGCACGAAAGCUAGGGG
rnacentral:rRNA from 1 species